rnacentral:lncRNA from 1 species
AAAAGCCAGAAGAACAAGAGCCAAGGUUCAUCCCUGAAACCCAAAAUGGUUAUGGCCUUUACGGCCACGAGUCAGGCUCAGGCUCAAGCCGGCCCAGUUUCACCACCAAAGAAACCUAUGAACCCUAUGUCACCCCUGUUAGAUUCCACCCUGAUGAGCCCUAUAACAGCAUCCCCGAAUCCUCCAACAAUAAAGACACUUACUACUACAACAAGAAUGCCUACGAGUCCACUAAGCAGCAAAACUUGGGCGAGGCCAUUUUCACCGAGAAAGGAUGGAGCACCAAGGAAAACCAGAACAACAA